GAUGAACGCUGGCGGCGUGCCUAAUACAUGCAAGUCGAGCGAACGGACGAGAAGCUUGCUUCUCUGAUGUUAGCGGCGGACGGGUGAGUAACACGUGGAUAACCUACCUAUAAGACUGGGGUAACUUCGGGAAACCGGAGCUAAUACCGGAUAAUAUUUUGAACCGCAUGGUUCAAAAGUGAAAGACGGUCUUGCUGUCACUUAUAGAUGGAUCCGCGCUGCAUUAGCUAGUUGGUAAGGUAACGGCUUACCAAGGCAACGAUGCAUAGCCGACCUGAGAGGGUGAUCGGCCACACUGGAACUGAGACACGGUCCAGACUCCUACGGGAGGCAGCAGUAGGGAAUCUUCCGCAGUGGGCGAAAGCCUGACGGAGCAACGCCGCGUGAGUGAUGAAGGUCUUCGGAUCGUAAAACUCUGUUAUUAGGGAAGAACAUAUGUGUAAGUAACUGUGCACAUCUUGACGGUACCUAAUCAGAAAGCCACGGCUAACUACGUGCCAGCAGCCGCGGUAAUACGUAGGUGGCAAGCGUUAUCCGGAAUUAUUGGGCGUAAAGCGCGCGUAGGCGGUUUUUUAAGUCUGAUGUGAAAGCCCACGGCUCAACCGUGGAGGGUCAUUGGAAACUGGAAAACUUGAGUGCAGAAGAGGAAAGUGGAAUUCCAUGUGUAGCGGUGAAAUGCGCAGAGAUAUGGAGGAACACCAGUGGCGAAGGCGACUUUCUGGUCUGUAACUGACGCUGAUGUGCGAAAGCGUGGGGAUCAAACAGGAUUAGAUACCCUGGUAGUCCACGCCGUAAACGAUGAGUGCUAAGUGUUAGGGGGUUUCCGCCCCUUAGUGCUGCAGCUAACGCAUUAAGCACUCCGCCUGGGGAGUACGACCGCAAGGUUGAAACUCAAAGGAAUUGACGGGGACCCGCACAAGCGGUGGAGCAUGUGGUUUAAUUCGAAGCAACGCGAAGAACCUUACCAAAUCUUGACAUCCUUUGACAACUCUAGAGAUAGAGCCUUCCCCUUCGGGGGACAAAGUGACAGGUGGUGCAUGGUUGUCGUCAGCUCGUGUCGUGAGAUGUUGGGUUAAGUCCCGCAACGAGCGCAACCCUUAAGCUUAGUUGCCAUCAUUAAGUUGGGCACUCUAAGUUGACUGCCGGUGACAAACCGGAGGAAGGUGGGGAUGACGUCAAAUCAUCAUGCCCCUUAUGAUUUGGGCUACACACGUGCUACAAUGGACAAUACAAAGGGCAGCGAAACCGCGAGGUCAAGCAAAUCCCAUAAAGUUGUUCUCAGUUCGGAUUGUAGUCUGCAACUCGACUACAUGAAGCUGGAAUCGCUAGUAAUCGUAGAUCAGCAUGCUACGGUGAAUACGUUCCCGGGUCU
rnacentral:rRNA from 1 species